rnacentral:rRNA from 1 species
UGUAGGCUACUGCAGUCGAGCGGAUGACGGGAGCUUGCUCCUUGAUUCAGCGGCGGACGGGUGAUUUAUGCCUAGGAAUCUGCCUGGUAGUGGGGGACAACGUUUCGAAAGGAACGCUAAUACCGCAUACGUCCUACGGGAGAAAGCAGGGGACCUUCGGGCCUUGCGCUAUCAGAUGAGCCUAGGUCGGAUUAGCUAGUUGGUGGGGUAAUGGCUCACCAAGGCGACGAUCCGUAACUGGUCUGAGAGGAUGAUCAGUCACACUGGAACUGAGACACGGUCCAGACUCCUACGGGAGGCAGCAGUGGGGAAUAUUGGACAAUGGGCGAAAGCCUGAUCCAGCCAUGCCGCGUGUGUGAAGAAGGUCUUCGGAUUGUAAAGCACUUUACGUUGGGAGGAAGGGCAGUAAGCUAAUACCUUGCGGUUUUGACGUUACCGACAGAAUAAGCGCCGGCUAACUCUGUGCCAGCGGCCGCGGUAAUACAGAGGGUGCAAGCGUUCUUCGCAAUUAUUGGAUGUAAAAGCGCCGGGUAGGUGGUUCUGUAAGGUGCAUGUCAAAGCCUCGGGCUCAUCAUGGUUACGGCGUCCAACCCUGGCGGGCUACUUUAUGCGUUAGCGUGGGCCGAUUUUACUCGCGUGGAGUUGAACCGGCUAGUAUACAUCCAUGUCCUGCCUGUCGUGAUGGGGAUCUCUAUCCUCGGUUGCUUUCCACUGCUUUCUUACCUCGUUGGUCAGAACCCUUCCCUGA